AAUAAAUGUUUAUUGAAUUGAAUUGUUCUCACUUGGUUUUCAGCAAUAAUUCUAUAUAUGUGCUGUUAUUAACCCCAUUUUACAUAUGAGCAAACUGAGGCUGAGAAGUUAAGGGACUGGCCCAGGGUCAGACAGCUAGUAAGUGUCUGAGGCAGAAAGUGAACUCUCUGACUCCAACUCUGAGUGUCCAUUGCACCACCCAGCUCCUAUUUAGUCACACGGUUCUCACUUCCUUAACUGUGUUCUAUGGCACUUCACGUAGAGGAGUUCAAAGGGAUAAUGUUGCUACCAGGGACACUUUUCCUAUUAAUUUGUUAGCCAUUAACAUAAUGUACAUGUCAAAUAAAUGCAGUAGUUUCUCACAUGAGAAUAAUAUCAUCCACUUUCCACAUCAAAAUAACAUUAAGGUAGCCUAUUUUGUUGCCAAAUUUAGUCUUGAUCUCCCACUGUGCUUCUGUAAUCCCAUGGCACAUUCCUGAAUAGGAUUAUGGGUUCUGUCAAUGUAUUCGAAAGCCCAAAACAUUCCUUAGUCAAAUUAGUUUGGGAACUUCUAGACUUUGGCACCUCCUCUGAGUGGUGGUGGUGGUGGUGGUGUGUGUGUGUUGUGUGUAUGUAUGUGCUGGCUCACUAGAAGCUGGGCAAAAUGGUGCUUCUUUUACACCCCUCCCUUGCUACUUUCUUCUUUCUUCCUUGGUUUCCCCUCUUUCUGUCUCCCCCUCCCAAUCUGCCCACAUCCUUUCUUUUUCCCUUUGUGUUGAAACCUGAAAAAUUGGCAUUGGAACCUAACACAAUAGUGAGAAAGAAAUGAGAUUAGAAUCUCUCCUCUGCAUAAGUAAGAGGUGUCAGGUGGAGAAGAGGAAUAAGACAAACCAGCAUCUUACUAGAACAUACCUUUUUGGUGUGUUCUCCCAGACCUACUUAGGACUAAUUUUCUUGAUUUCAGACCAGAGAUACAAACUCCUUUUCCACACUGGUCUAGCCCCCUGGAUUUGGUUACCCUUGGCACUGUGGUGCAACAUGCUGUUCAUACUCUCUCAGAGGGGAAAAACAGCUUUUUUUUUUUCUCUUCAGAUGGGCCUAAUCAGGAGUGACCACAGGAUACUAGGAGACAGGAUUCAAAGUCUUGUCUCACCAGAACAAAUCUAUUCCCUCAUUCUUAUGUAAUGUAUAAAAAGUAUGAGAGACACAAUAUCUGGGUAAUUAAUCAUUUUAUUAAUUAUGUCUAGCAAAUAACUAACAAAAUGAAGGUCAUUUGGCCAUCUCUCAUAAGCCAAAUAUGGAUCAUAGACCCUAUUGAUGCUAAUAUGGCUUUGAAAGAGUGAGUAUUCUGCACAGAUGGCAAUCAACUCUGAUUAGUUAACAAUUAUUGAGGAGAAUGAAUAUUAUAAUAAGAAGUGGACCUAUUCUAAUGACAGGCUAGGGGAAAUGUGACUUUCAUUAUAUCACUCUUACUCCCACGCCAUCUCCAGCCCCGUCCUAGACAGAAGAUCUAUCCUCUCCCACCUAAGCCUAAUUAGAACACAAUGGGCUUCCCCUGUUUGGUGGGGUCUGAACAAGACUGAGGAGAUUGUCAAAUCUAUUCUCAUCAUUGGCCCUAUUUUUCAGGGGCUGAUUUGACCUAGUAGAGAAUGAGGAAAUAGGAAGGGAAAAACCCUGGAUCCCCACCAUAGUAAUUGGUUAUUAAUGUCAGAGAGCAAUAAUAAUUUCUCUCACUUGGUUCAUGCAUUGCCAAAAUCACACACAACCUUGUAAGCCUUCUAGAGCAUAAGGACUCCAGAGAUUGUCUUCUCCAAUUGUCUGAAGCCUUAGAAGCAGCAAAAAAAAAAAAAAAGGCUCCAUGUGGGCUAGUAAAGACAUGGAGAGAGAAAGAAGAGGCAAAGGAAGGAAACCAAGAGUAGUUACUGGGAAAAUUGUUAGGUAGUAAGAAAUUGAACAACUUGAAAGAUUAUGGGAAGGAAAAAGAACAGAAUGUCUCAGCUUUCAGUGAUUCUCCUACUCCCUUCUUAAUUAAGCCCUAGAAAACAAACAAACAAAAAAGUAGUGACAUAUCUGAUCUCUCUCUGGGUAGGAGGGCAGUGUUGGGGAUCUCAUGGGGAAGUAGUUUGAAACUUCUCUGAGAAUUUUGGGAUUUGGAGUUUUGCUUAUUUUCCUGCCCAGGGAAAUAUUGGAAGCUAACAGAUGAGAAUGAUGCAACCCCAGAGAUGGCUUGAAUAAAUCUUUUAGGAAUUUCAAGAAGGAGAUUGAGGCCAACACUGAUUGUGGCAGAUGCGGUGGAGAUGGUGUUGAGCAUGGCACCAGGGCAGCCAAGGUCUUCAUCUACCCAAGGGAGAUGGGAUGGUAGCACCAAAGUGGAAGAUAAGUCUGAUCAUUAAUGAAUGUCCUCCUCAUCCCCAGCCAUGAAUCCAGGUGAAUGAAGAGGUAUCUUUUUUCUCCUCUCACUGUGUCUUCCCUCUUUCAUUCCAUCCUUUUGAGAAGAGACUUAAAUCCAAAAUUUCCUGUUCCAUUUAAGCUGUUUUUCAAUGUUUAAAAGCAGUUUGUUAAGCUUGGUUUCUCUAGAUCAGGUCUGCACAAUACAUAGCCCUCAGGCCACUUGCAGCCCACCAAAGGAUUUUGGGCAGCCUGCCACUGCCCACUCUCUCCUGUUUCUCACAUGACCUGUGGCAAGCAACCAUCAUCAGUCUGUCUCUAGUGAACUAUACUUAGAAAGUGAGCCCCUAAAACCCUAACUUCAGCCUGAAGAAGUUUAGCCUAUUUUAAUUUUGGCCCCUACCUACUGCCAAGUUGUGCAAGUCUACUCUAGACAAGAGAAAUCAAUUUCCAUUGUGCCCUUGGGUUUUGUACACUCUGAAGUUGCCCCAUGGGGCAGGGGUUUCAAGCUGCCCUGAUAGUCAGAUUGACACUUUAGGAUUGGAACUGUGGGGCUGGAGCUUUACUCCAAGGCUCUUUCUUCUGGUGAGAGGGCCAGGGAAGGAAGAGCUGGGAACAUGACCAGUGCUCCCCUGAAUCUGAGGCACAUGGAGAUCAAGACUAGAGUAGCUGGCUCUGGGAACUAUCGAAAAUCCCAUUAGGUGCUGAAAUGAAAGGAGAGAGAACUCUUUCCCACUGUGCUUUCCUAAGGUCCCAGACAUGCAACCUCAGUCUUUAAUCUUAUUCACUACCUGUGAGUGUGAGAGUGGAAUGGGGGGUUGAGACCUCCCUGUAGUACUUAAUGCUUUUCUUUUCAUUUUUGCUAUGUGUAGUUAACUAUUAUGACCACAGUACACUGAGUAACUCUAUCCUUUGAAUAUGAGAAGCAGAUUUAAUUGACUGGCAGAAGAGAUUUUAAGAACAGGUAGGGCCUCUAGAGUUAUCAUGUCCAACUUUGGAUAUUUUGAUCCUGUGUAUUCACUGGUGGCCCUUCCACCAGAUCUCCAGCCUGGUCUCCUGCCUUGGGGAAGGGGAAUAACAUUAUUCCUUUACCUCCAAGCACCCUUUUCCUAACCUCUUUUAGAGGACUCCACUCUAAGGGACUCCAAACCUGUAGAUGAACAGAGGCACCUAAGUGGUACAGUCGAUAGAGCACUGAACCAGAAGUUUUCCAAAAAAGAUACAGGCCUUUCUGAGUUCCAGUCUAACUUUAGAUUUACUAGCUAUGUGAAGCUGGGCAAGUCACUUAACCUUUAUCUCAGUUCCCUUAACUGUAAAAUGGGGAUAACGAUAGCAUUUAUUCCUAGGGUUGUUGUGAGGACCCAAUGAGAAAUCUACAAAGUGCUUAGCAGUGUCUGGCCCACAGUAAAUGAUUAAUAAAUGUUUGUUUCCUUCUUUCCUAUGGAAAAAUGAAAAUCUACCUAAACUCAUUCCCCAAUAAUUAACAAACUCUGCUCUGCUCAUAACCCUUCCUCAUCUCAAUAAUUCUAAACCCUUGGUCAUCAUUAAAGCCCUAUUCUCUGUCCCCCAUGGUCUGAUCUCUUAUUCCCAUUCCCCUCAGCUCCACCCAGUGUCCCAUUCUGCAGUUACCCACUCUUUCAGCUGUCUGAUAUGUCUGCUCCAGAGACAGUAAACUUACUUUUAUCUUCAAACAUUUUCUUUCUCACUCAUUCCAUCUUUUGGGUCUCAGUGAGACCUGGCUCUUGAUAACAGAAUCUCCAUGGCCACCAUUUGCAACACCGGCUGCACUUUGACUUAUACUCCUUGCUCCUCAUUUGUGUCUCCAGAUUUUCUCUCUACUACUAUCAAUCAGUAAUCUCUCAUUCUUUGAGGUUCACUCAGUCCAUAUUUACCACCCAAUCAUUUCUGGUAGUUGCUGUCCAUAGACCUCCAGGACACUGCCCUUUACUUCAUGAGUGCAGUGCUUGAGUCACAGUCUCUCCUCAACUCCUGCUUUCACAGUAGGGAACUUCAACAUAUAUGUUGAUAGUUCCUCAGACACCCUUAACUCCUAGUUCCUCAACUUAUUCAUUCCCCAUGUACUCCUCUAUCCCAUUUAAGCCACCCACAAAUAUCAUCAUACCCUUGAUCUUGCCACUUCCACAGAUAUACCACUUCUGUGCUGAUAAGCUUUGAAAUUCCCUUAUCUAAUCAUACUCUACUGUCACUUCAUCUUUCCUUCUGCCUUGUGACCCCUAACCUUACUCUUCAUUCACAUCAUGACCCCCAGUCUUUCAGUCACUCAGUUCUCUCCCAGGCAAUCGCUCCACUAGCUACACUUUCCUCCUUUCCCCAGCUUGACCUCUUGGUGAAUUGGUUUAAGUCUACAUUGUCCUCUUCUCCUGAGUCCCUUAUCUUCUCAUCCUCUUAUAACUCUUGCCCUUCCAUACCUCGUCUUUGGAUCACUCCCACUCUUUGCUUCCUUGACUGCUACACACUGCUGCUGAAAGAAGCUGGAGAAAAUUAUGAAACUGUGCUGACUAGGUUCUCUACAAAUUUGUGUUAUAUAGCCUCAACUGGGGCUUAAGCAAGGCAAUUCUUUUAUAAUUCCCAUAUCAAUUCACUAUCCCACUCUCCACAGUGGGUCUUCCAAACAUUUUUUAUACUUCUUAAAGCCUCCCAUGGCUCCUCCUUCCCCCCACCCUCGUAGCUGAGAACCUUGACUCAUAUUUUACUGAAAAAAAAUUGAGGUCAUUGUUGGAUAGCUCUCUUUUCACUCCUCCUCCUCAUCUCACACCACUUAGAUGCCUUCUGCUACCAUCUCCACCCUUUUCCUUGCAAAGGCAAAUUUCUCUCCAUUCACAUGUGAUCCCAUUCUAGUUCAGCAGAUUGCUCCCUUCUAUUAUCCUAACUCUCUCAUGCAUCUUCAAACUCUCUGUCUACAGGCUCUUUCCUUAUUGCUUACAAACACCCAUCCUCAAAAACCCCUCAGUAGAUCCAUCCAUCCAGGCUAUCUCUUCUCUUCUUUGGUGGCUAACUAUGUCAAGAAGGUGGAGGCCAUUGCCAGUUGUCCUGACCUAUGUCUGGCCACUGGACUCUGAUGACUCUGGAGGAGAGAAUGAGGCUGAUGACUUUGCAGAGCCCUGCCUCACUGAGCUCCAAUUCACUUGCAAGUCAAGACACCACCCUCCUGAUGAUGCUGGUCCUUUUCGAGAACAAAGGAAGAACAACACUCUGAACACAGAUGAUGAAGCAGCAAUCAUGAGAUGGAUGGGGAUUGCCUCAUGAAUUCAUAUGGUUCACAGUCAUUGAAUGUUCUGGGUGCUUGUUGGCAGGAGGCACUUUCUACAAUGAUGCUUCUUCUCUGCAGACAUGACCACCAAUCAGAGGAUUGGGCCAUGCAUGCCUGGCUGGCCAGAAGAUAGCUAUGUUGUUUGAGAUGCUCAUCCAUCCUGAAAAUGAAAUGCCUGUCUGAGAGACCCAUACAUCUUCUGGAUGUCUUUUCCUUCUAGGAGAACAUAAUAAAGAUGAUGGGUAACAUGAGUCCUUUAAGUUUC